rnacentral:rRNA from 1 species
CUUUACUAUAGCCUGGAAUUGUGUUCGGGCUUCGCUUACGCAGGAUAGGUGGGAGGCUAUGAAGUUCUGCUUGUGGGCAGAAUCGAGCCAACGGUGAGAUACCACUUUAGCGAGGCUAGAAUUCUAACCCUUACCCGUCAUCCGGGAAGGAGACAGUUUCAGGCGGGCAGUUUGACUGGGGCGGUCGCCUCCUAAAUGGUAACGGAGGCGCGCAAAGGUUCUCUCAGGCUGGUUGGAAAUCAGCCACAGAGUGCAAAGGCAGAAGGGAGCUUGACUGCAAGACCUACAAGUCGAGCAGGGUGGAAACACGGUCUUAGUGAUCCGACGGUGCCGCAUGGAAGGGCCGUCGCUCAACGGAUAAAAGUUA